rnacentral:lncRNA from 1 species
UGGUCACACCCACAGCAUGCAGAAGUUCCCAGUUCAGGGAUCGAACCUGUGCCACAGCAGUAACCAGAGUCACAGCAGUGAUAAUGCUGGCUUCUUAACCCAUUGAGCCACCAGGGAACUCUGAUAGACAUAUUCUUUAUCUUGAGAGGGGUGUGCAUUACGUGAGUAUCUGUUGAUCAAAACUCAGGAAACUGUACACAAUGAAAUGAGUCUUUCAUUGACUGUAAGUUGUACUCCCAUCAAAUAAUUCAAAAGAUUAUAAAAAAUUAAGGUCAUAGUUCUUGCAAACCUGACUUUGUGUCAUUCUGAGAGCUAAGUGAUUUGCUUGUGUCUGACCUGAGAGCCCAUGUUUCCCUGGUUGAGAGACAAGGGGGCCUGGUGGCUGGAGCCCAGCCCUGCCACUCACAGCUGUGUGACCCAGGACCAGCCUUGUCGGGGAUCGAUGCCUCAGUUUCCCCAUCAGCAGCACGCGGUUAGUAACAACCCCCAUUUCAGAAGGUGGUUGAGAGGACCACAUGCUUGUAAUUACACGUUCGGUUCUGAGAACACUGCUGACACUAGUUAGCUCUUCCUUGAAAAAAAGCUGGAAAAGCUCAAAGAGCAGAGGGGAAGCAGAGGCCGCCGAAAUCAAUGCUCACAGUCGGCCACGGGUCCCAGGCAAACCGAGGUUAACACACAUGAACUUUCGGCUGCUCAGCUCAAUGGGAACUCCAACUGCAAAGGCUUUGAAGACUGUUUGCCAGGCAGGGGAAUUUAAUGGGAGAACUUUCUCCCAAAAAAUCUGCAGCGAUGUUAUGAAACUUCUUGAAAGGUCUCUCUCAUGGCAUAAACUAUGAAAACGGUAGAUAGCUAUUCCCCUGUGGGGAAUGAAGGUGGGUAGCCUAUGAGUAAUGUUAAAUUAAUGUUCCUUCCACACAUUUAUUGAGGGCCUGUUAUUUCCUAGGCAGUUCUGGAUGUUUAGGAGACGCACAUAGAAUAGAGAUUCCCCAGGGAAUUGACGGCAUGGAAGAGGACGUGACCACGUCUAUCAGUCAGUGCACCGGAGACUGAAAUGUAGGUUGCAUCGGCGGCGUGAGCCAGGUGCCGGGACAGCUUGGUUGGGGCAAGGAGUUCUGAGCUGGGGAGCUGAGGGAACGUUCUUGGAGUUGGCCCUUUAGCGGAGGCUUCAACACCUCUAUCUAGUACAGGUGGCGACGUUACAGACCCAGCCUACAUGAGUGACUGAAUCCUACCCUGCCAGGCAUCCCAACAGCCUCCUUUGCGUUUCCAGGACAGACAUGUGUCUAGGAGUCAAAAGCAUUUUGUUCGAGCUGUGCAGUGUGCCACACCCAAUGCAGAGACCACUCUGCAAGGCUGAGGUGUCAUAUGCUGCUAAGGCUCAAGGCACUGAUG